GAAAUAAUCUGAUGAAAGAAACAACUGCAUGAUCACACAACCAUUGUCAUUAUUGUUUUCCAACACAAACCCUCACCAAAAAGCUCUUCAUUCCCAAUCCAAUUUUUUCACUCAAAAUCUCCAAUAUUGUGGUUCAUCACAUCGAAAGGAGAAAAGUAAGAUAGAAUUUCAAGUAAAGAUCAUUUAUUUUACACUUCAUUGCUCAUAUUA
rnacentral:lncRNA from 1 species